AACGAACGCUGGCGGCGCGCUUAACACAUGCAAGUCGCACGGACGGUUUCGGCCGUCAGUGGCGCACGGGUGAGUAACGCGUGGGAACCUACCCUGGGGUCUGGGACAACCGCGGGAAACUGCGGCUAAUACCGGAUACGUGCUGCGGCAGAAAGGAGUGAUCUGCCCUGGGAUGGGCCCGCGUCCGAUUAGCUAGUUGGUGGGGUAACGGCCCACCAAGGCUGCGAUCGGUAGCCGGCUGAGAGGAUGAUCGGCCACACUGGGACUGAGACACGGCCCAGACUCCUACGGGAGGCAGCAGUGGGGAAUCUUGGACAAUGGGCGCAAGCCUGAUCCAGCGACGCCGCGUGGGUGAUGAAGGCCU
rnacentral:rRNA from 1 species